rnacentral:snRNA from 1 species
AUGCUCUUUUUGGCAGCAUGUAUACCAAAAUUGGAAAGAUACAUAGAAGAUUAGCAUGGCUCCUACGCAA